UCCCCGCUGGCUCAGUGGUAAAGAAUCUGCCUGCUAUGCAGAAGAUGUGGGUUUAAUCCCUGGGUCGGGAA
rnacentral:tRNA from 1 species